UUAACUCAAAUUUGUAUGGAGUUAGAACGUUUGCUACGUUGCCGCUAGGGGCGCUGUUCCAACUGCAUACAAAUUUGAGUUA
rfam:Bombyx mori DNA, contig: Bm_scaf52_contig26844, strain: p50T/Dazao, build 2, whole genome shotgun sequence.